UAGGGAAUAUUGCAAAAUGGGCGAAAGCCCGAUGCAGCAACGCCGCGUGGGCGAUGAAGGCCUUCGGGUCGUAAAGCCCUUUUUGAGGGGAUGAGGAAGGACAGUACCCUCAGAAUAAGCCUCGGCUAACUACGUGCCAGCAGCCGCGGUAAAACGUAGGAGGCGAGCGUUAUCCGGAUUUACUGGGCGUAAAGCGCGUGCAGGCGGAUUGGGGAGUUGGAUGUGAAAGCUCCCGGCUUAACGGGGAGAGGUCGUUCAAUACUUCCAGUCUGGAGUGCAGUAGAGGGAAGUGGAAUUCCGGGUGUAGUGGUGAAAUGCGUAGAUAUCCGGAGGAACACCAGUGGCGAAAGCGGCUUCCUGGACUGUAACUGACGCUCAGACGCGAAAGCUAGGGUAGCAAACG
rnacentral:rRNA from 1 species